AGUCCUGGACAGUUGGAUUGGGGAAACCUGCAGUAGUCCCUAGAACGCCAGGAUUUAUUAGUGGAAAACUCAGAGGACUGGAGCUAGAAGAGGCCUCUCUGGCUUUGGAGAAAAACCAAGGUUUCAGGUUCCACGGUUCAGCUCUCUUUCCUGGUUCUCCUGCACCUCUAAAUCGCCCAAACUGAGCCCGGGAGAUUUCGGAGGUCAAAUCUAUGACCUGCUUCGGCCUCCUAGGCCUGACCCCCCUUCCAACAGACGCUCCUUCAGGACAGCGUCACAGCCUCCAAGGAGACAGGGGCCUGCCUCUACCAUCUCUGCGUAAUGAAGAAAAUAGCUCCGGAUGAUGACAAAUUCUGGUGACUAAAAUAGGGUCCAACGCAUUUUGAGACCUCAAUCCUGUAAUGGAUGGGGAGAGUGCUGUGAGUCACUCCUCUCUCCUCUUUCCUACUGGUCAAGGUCACGAUGGCCUGAUUCCCUGCAGCUCCAAGUUGGGGAAACGUGGCAAGGAAUACCUUUGAUCAGGGAAUAUGAACCUAAGCCUCAGGCUCCACCAUCUGCCAGAGAAAUGGCUCGGGUGCCAGACCUCAAGGUCACACUGGAAAGCAAACCUUGAUAGCUCACCUAGGUCCAAGACCGACGGACUCCUUGACGUCCUGAGAAGGGGAGGGGUUCAGAGUGCUGCACAGGAGUGGGAACCUCAACUGAUAUGCAAGGGACAAACACAGGAAUCUAAAGAUGUUCAUCACCAUAUGCUUAGAUCCUUGGACUUCCAUUCACAGCUGCUGCUGACAAUUGUUGGGAGUUGGACUGCAGACUGUAAGUCAUCAACAAAUUCCCUUACUAUAUAGAGACUACCCAUAAGUUCUGUGACUCUAGGGAACCCUGACUAAUACAAUGGCAUAGCCACUUUUGAAGAGUUUGGCCACUCCAUAAAAAGCUAAAUAUAUUCUUACUAUACAUAUGUAUGAUCCUUUGUAGUUAGCCAGAUGCAUUGACAAGUUAAAUACAUGCAAAACACUACAUAUAUCUAUUCAUAAUUACCAAAGUUCAAAAGCAGCCAUGAAGCCCAAGAUGAAUAGACAGGGUCUAUUCAUCAUCCAUACAAUGGAAAAGUAUUCUACAUGAGAAAGAAAUGAGUUAUCAACAUAGUAGCCUCAGCACUAAUCUACGUGGUUCUAAAUCUAUGACAUUCUAAAAAAACAAAACUGGAUACUGUAAAAGACCAGUUGUUGUCUGGGGUGGAGUCAAAAAGGAGGGAUGAAUAAGUGAAGCACCAAAGACCAAGGUAGCUCAACUACACAGCACUGUAAUUGAAGUGCAUGGCACUGUCUGUUCCUCAAGUCCCAUAGAGUGGAAAGAAGAGAAAGGCCUAGGGAGUCGUGGGCUGUGGGUGAUACUGAUAGCAAUGUGGUUCCAUUGGCUUUUUUGUUUGUUUGGUUUUUGUUUGUUUGUUUGUUUUGUUUUUGAGACAGGGUUUCUCUAUUUAGCCCAGGCUGGCCUCAAACUCGGAAAUCCUCCUGCCUCUGCCUUCCAAGUGCUGAAAUUAAAGGCAUAUGUCACCACUGCCCGGCCUAAUACUCUGUUUUUGGUGGAGUGUUGUUGUUGUUGGUGUUGUUGUUGUUGUUUUCUUCUGAGACAGGGUUUCUCCGUGUAGCCCUGGCUGUCCUAGAACUCACUCUGUACACCAGUCUGGCCUCAAACUCAGAAAUUCACCUGCCUCUGCCUCCCAAGUGCUGAGAUUAAAGGCGUGCGCCACCACUGCCUGGUGGUUCCAUCAUUUUUAACAAAUGUGCUACUCUAAUGAGGGAAUGAAAAGCCCAGGGGACUGGGGUUGGGGCAGAAGGCCUAACUGAACUCUCUGCUUUAGCUCAAUUUUUCUGGGACCCUAAAAUUUUUCUAAAAAUCAUCUAUGUUCAGAAAGAUUAUCAGACACCACCAUCAUCCCCAAAAAAGUGGAUUUCCUAUUGUUUGAUACUACAGGUUUGGCCAGCUCAGUCAGUACCCUUCUGCCGAUGUUAUCUUCCUCCAGUUACAGAAGAAGGCACAACAUUCCUAGCAAUAUACAGACUCUAGCUGAUGAAAAUAAUGGGAAAAAUAUGUUAUGUGUCUCAGGAACAGCAACUGUUGACCUAUAAUACUAAAAUAUCAGAGUCUUGAACUCGAGUCCCAUGUUGGGUGCCAUUUAUAGGCUUAGAUAUUUUUUUCCAAAACCUACUUUUAAUAAAGGUUCAUUCCUAAAUGCUUUAAUGUCCCUUCUAACCCAUCACCCACCAGAGGUAGUGAAAAGGAAAGGUUGAUAGAGCAAAGUAAGCUGUACACCUGUUUAAAUAUCUCUUUGGAGCAAAUCUAAUCUGUGUUGUCAGGAUAUUAGCAGUUGAGUUCACAUGAACAGUGGAGGUAGCUCGAUCCACUCACAAACACCAUUCACGAAUCAGCAACAGCAGGGGCUCACAAACACAAUUCUCAAAUCAACAACAGCAGGACUAGCAAACACUGUUCAUAGAUUAACAACAAUAAGUCGAUCCAGAAAAGAAUGCAAGGCUCUGCUAGUCAGCCUGAGUCUAUGGAAACAGCAAGAAGCUACCGGAACACCACCAGAAGAUUUUGGUGUGUUUCUAUUAAGUCACAACAAAUGAUGACCAACAAAGAGUGAUAACCCAUACCAAUACCACCCAACAUCAGCAAACCCCAAUGAAAACCAGCAAUGAAUGGCAAGGCCUACCAAUACCAUCCAGCACUGUCACCAUUCAUUGGGAUAUAUUUAUAUCCUUUACAAACAUCAUGUGUUCUCUCAAGCAUCCGCUCUAGCAAAAAACAUCACAUGCCCCUUUUUCAGGCUGCCUCCAGAAAAACAUUGUGGGUCUGUUUUUAGCAAAACAUCCUCCCACAUGUCUGUUUCAGCAAAAACAUCCUCUCAUACAACAGUUUCCAGAAAAACAUCACAUAAGACAACUGAGUCUCCAAAGAAACCAGAAAUGUCCAAUUCACCUAUAAAAAAAAAAAAAAAAAACAAAAACCCUACAAAGAUUGCAGGAGGAACACAUUAGUAAAGGUAGAUCACAAUGUAUCUAUAUAACAUUGUAGUUUAUGCUUUAUUCAUAAAAGUCAGAGCUGUAGGAAGAGGGAGUCCCUCUAUCACACACACACACACAUACAGCUGAGCGGCUAGGGAACAUGUCUGUAAUAUUAGAACUCAGAAGAAUGAGGCAAGAGGAUUUUGAACCUCAAGCCAGCUUGGAUUACAUAGCAAGAUCUUGUUUUGUUUUGUUUUUUAAAGACAAAACCAAAAAAGGUUAAGUGUGCUUGGUUUUGACAUUGGUAUCUAGAGAAAUGUCAUAGAUGUAUCAAAAGCAUGUCCUUUGAAAAACUAAGAAAA